rnacentral:tRNA from 1 species
CGGAGCAUGGCUCAGCUUGGUAGAGCGCCUGCUUCGGGAGCAGGAGGCCGUGGGUUCAAAUCCCGCUGCUCCGA